UUUGUAAUUGUUGGAUGUAAUGGCAGAUACAGGUCCAGAGAGCAGUGGGAGCAGCUGCUGCGACAUCCCAAAGGGAAGCAGCUCGCAAUGUAAGGAAAAAAGAGUAUUGGAGCAGAGAUAUGUUUUACAGACCUCAGAGAAGGCUUUUGCCAUUUACUCUCUGGACGGGAAGAGACUUUAAAGUAACCCAGCCGGAGGGCCAAGUCACAAGAAGAGGCAGACCGCUGGAGUGCUCUUCAGCAGGUGGUACCAGACAAGGAGAGAGCUGCUAUGCCAUGCCUGGCCACAAGGAGGCACU